rnacentral:rRNA from 1 species
UACGUAGGGGGCAAGCGUUGUCCGGAAUCAUUGGGCGUAAAGCGCGUGUAGGCGGUCCGGUAAGUCGGUUGUGAAAGUCCAGGGCUCAACCCUGGGAUGCCGACCGAUACUGUCGGACUAGAGUUCGGAAGAGGCGAGUGGAAUUCCCGGUGUAGCGGUGAAAUGCGCAGAUAUCGGGAGGAACACCAAUGGCGAAGGCGCCGCUCUGGGCCGUGACUGACGCUGAGGAGCGAAAGCGUGGGUAGCAAACAGG